GACAGAGGGUGCAAACGUUGUUCGGAAUUACUGGGCGUAAAGCGUGUGUAGGCGGCCAUAUAAGUCGGAUGUGAAAGCCCUGGGCUCAACCCAGGAAGUGCACUCGAUACUGUGUGGCUCGAGUACUGGAGAGGUUGGUGGAAUUCUCGGUGUAGAGGUGAAAUUCGUAGAUAUCGAGAGGAACACCGGUGGCGAAGGCGGCCAACUGGACAGAUACUGACGCUGAGACACGAAAGCGUGGGGAGCAAACAGGAUUAGAUACCCUGGUAGUCCACGCCGUAAACGAUGGGUGCUAGGUGUCACGGGCUUUGACUCCUGUGGUGCCGUAGCAAACGCAUUAAGCACCCCGCCUGGGAAGUACGGCCGCAAGGCUAAA
rnacentral:rRNA from 1 species